UACGGGGGAGCAAGCGUUGUUCGGAUUUACUGGGCGUAAAGGGCGCGUAGGCGGUCGAGCACAAGUCAGUUGUGAAAUCUCCGGGCUUAACUCGGAAAGGUCAACUGAUACUGUGCGACUAGAGUGCAGAAGGGGCAACUGGAAUUCUCGGUGUAGCGGUGAAAUGCGUAGAUAUCGAGAGGAACACCAGUGGCGAAGGCGAGUCUCUGGACGACUCCUGACACUGAGGCACGGAAAGCUGGGGGAGCAAACAGG
rnacentral:rRNA from 1 species